rnacentral:rRNA from 1 species
UACGUAGGUGGCAAGCGUUGUCCGGAAUUAUUGGGCGUAAAGCGCGCGCAGGCGGUCCUUUAAGUCUGAUGUGAAAGCCCACGGCUUAACCGUGGAGGGUCAUUGGAAACUGGGGGACUUGAGUGCAGAAGAGGAGAGUGGAAUUCCACGUGUAGCGGUGAAAUGCGUAGAGAUGUGGAGGAACACCAGUGGCGAAGGCGACUCUCUGGGACGGUACUGACGCUGAGACGCGAAAGCGUGGGGAGCAAACAGG